rnacentral:rRNA from 1 species
GUGGGAAUAUUGCACAAUGGGCGCAAGCCUGAUGCAGCCAUGCCGCGUGUAUGAAGAAGGCCUUCGGGUUGUAAAGUACUCUCAGCGGGGAGGAAGGGAGUAAGGUUAAUAACCUUAUUCAUUGACGUUACCCGCAGAAGAAGCACCGGCUAACUCCGUGCCAGCAGCCGCGGUAAUACGGAGGGUGCAAGCGUUAAUCGGAAUUACUGGGCGUAAAGCGCGCGCAGGCGGUCUGUCAAGUCGGAUGUGAAAUCCCCGGGCUCAACCUGGGAACUGCAUUCGAAACUGGCAGGCUGGAGUCUUGUAGAGGGGGUAGAAUUCCAGGUGUAGCGGUGAAAUUGCGUAGAGAUCUGGAGGAAUACCGGUGGCGAAGGCGGCCCCCUGGACAAAGACUGACGCUCAGGUGCGAAAGCGUGGGGAGCAAACA